rnacentral:tRNA from 2 species
GUUAAGGUGGCAGAGCCUGGUAAUUGCAAAAGACCUAAGCUCUUUAAUUCAGAGGUUCAACUCCUCUCCUUAACU